ensembl:rRNA 5S_rRNA 5S ribosomal RNA
GCCUACGACCAUAUCACCCUGAAUGCGCCCGAUCUCGUCUGAUCUCGGAAGCUAAGCAUGGUCGAGCCUGAUUAGUACUUGGAUGGGAGACUGCCUUGGAAUACCAGGUGUUGUAGGCU